rnacentral:rRNA from 1 species
UGAUCCUGGCUCAGAACAAACGCUGGCGGCGUGUCUUAAGCAUGCAAGUUGAGCGGCAAGGAGGACAGAUCCUCCCUAGAGCGGCGGACUGGUGAGUAACGCGUGGGUAAUCUAUCUUAGGCAUGGGGAUAGUCACUAGAAAUAGUGGGUAAUACCGAAUAAGUUCCAUAAGGGGAGGACUUAUGGAAGAAAGGUGCUACGGCACUGGCCUUAGGUGAGCUCGCGUCCCAUUAGCUAGUUGGUGAGGUAAAGGCCCACCAAGGCGAUGAUGGGUAGCCGGCCUGAGAGGGUGAACGGCCACACUGGGACUGAGAUACGGCCCAGACUCCUACGGGAGGCACCAGCUAAAAAUAUU